rnacentral:ncRNA from 1 species
CCUUAUCAAGAGUGGCGGAGGGAACAGGCCCUGUGAUGCCCAGCAACCUGCUGAUGUAAGGUGCUAAUUCCUGCGGGAAAACCGAAAGAUGAGG